rnacentral:rRNA from 1 species
UACAGAGGGGGCAAGCGUUGUUCGGAAUUACUGGGUGUAAAGGGUGCGUAGGCUGUUCGUCAAGUCUGAUGUGAAAGCCCUGGGCUUAACUCAGGAAUUGCAUUGGAAACUGACGGACUCAGAGUAUCGGAGAGGGAAGCGGAAUUCCUGGUGGUAGCGGUGAAAUGCGUAGAUACCAGGAGGAACACCGGUGGCGAAAGCGGUUUCCUGGCCGAAUACUGACGCUGAGGCACGAAAGCGUGGGGAGCAAACGGGG